rnacentral:rRNA from 1 species
GGGUUGUGAGGUUAAGCGACUAAGCGUACACGGUGGAUGCCCUGGCAGUCAGAGGCGAUGAAGGACGUGCUAAUCUGCGAUAAGCGUCGGUAAGGUGAUAUGAACCGUUAUAACCGGCGAUUUCCGAAUGGGGAAACCCAGUGUGAUUCGUCACACUAUCAUUAACUGAAUCCAUAGGUUAAUGAGGCGAACCGGGGGAACUGAAACAUCUAAGUACCCCGAGGAAAAGAAAUCAACCGAGAUUCCCCCAGUAGCGGCGAGCGAACGGGGAGCAGCCCAGAGCCUGAAUCAGUGUGUGUGUUAGUGGAAGCGUCUGGAAAGGCGCGCGAUACAGGGUGACAGCCCCGUACACAAAAAUGCACAUGCUGUGAGCUCGAUGAGUAGGGCGGGACACGUGGUAUCCUGUCUGAAUAUGGGGGGACCAUCCUCCAAGGCUAAAUACUCCUGACUGACCGAUAGUGAACCAGUACCGUGAGGGAAAGGCGAAAAGAACCCCGGCGAGGGGAGUGAAAAAGAACCUGAAACCGUGUACGUACAAGCAGUGGGAGCCUCUUUAUGGGGUGACUGCGUACCUUUUGUAUAAUGGGUCAGCGACUUAUAUUCUGUAGCAAGGUUAACCGAAUAGGGGAGCCGAAGGGAAACCGAGUCUUAACUGGGCGUUAAGUUGCAGGGUAUAGACCCGAAACCCGGUGAUCUAGCCAUGGGCAGGUUGAAGGUUGGGUAACACUAACUGGAGGACCGAACCGACUAAUGUUGAAAAAUUAGCGGAUGACUUGUGGCUGGGGGUGAAAGGCCAAUCAAACCGGGAGAUAGCUGGUUCUCCCCGAAAGCUAUUUAGGUAGCGCCUCGUGAAUUCAUCUCCGGGGGUAGAGCACUGUUUCGGCAAGGGGGUCAUCCCGACUUACCAACCCGAUGCAAACUGCGAAUACCGGAGAAUGUUAUCACGGGAGACACACGGCGGGUGCUAACGUCCGUCGUGAAGAGGGAAACAACCCAGACCGCCAGCUAAGGUCCCAAAGUCAUGGUUAAGUGGGAAACGAUGUGGGAAGGCCCAGACAGCCAGGAUGUUGGCUUAGAAGCAGCCAUCAUUUAAAGAAAGCGUAAUAGCUCACUGGUCGAGUCGGCCUGCGCGGAAGAUGUAACGGGGCUAAACCAUGCACCGAAGCUGCGGCAGCGACGCUUAUGCGUUGUUGGGUAGGGGAGCGUUCUGUAAGCCUGCGAAGGUGUACUGUGAGGUAUGCUGGAGGUAUCAGAAGUGCGAAUGCUGACAUAAGUAACGAUAAAGCGGGUGAAAAGCCCGCUCGCCGGAAGACCAAGGGUUCCUGUCCAACGUUAAUCGGGGCAGGGUGAGUCGACCCCUAAGGCGAGGCCGAAAGGCGUAGUCGAUGGGAAACAGGUUAAUAUUCCUGUACUUGGGGUUACUGCGAAGGGGGGACGGAGAAGGCUAUGUUGGCCGGGCGACGGUUGUCCCGGUUUAAGCGUGUAGGCUGGUUUUCCAGGCAAAUCCGGAAAAUCAAGGCUGAGGCGUGAUGACGAGGCACUACGGUGCUGAAGCAACAAAUGCCCUGCUUCCAGGAAAAGCCUCUAAGCAUCAGGUAACAUCAAAUCGUACCCCAAACCGACACAGGUGGUCAGGUAGAGAAUACCAAGGCGCUUGAGAGAACUCGGGUGAAGGAACUAGGCAAAAUGGUGCCGUAACUUCGGGAGAAGGCACGCUGAUAUGUAGGUGAAGCGACUUGCUCGUGGAGCUGAAAUCAGUCGAAGAUACCAGCUGGCUGCAACUGUUUAUUAAAAACACAGCACUGUGCAAACACGAAAGUGGACGUAUACGGUGUGACGCCUGCCCGGUGCCGGAAGGUUAAUUGAUGGGGUUAGCGGUAACGCGAAGCUCUUGAUCGAAGCCCCGGUAAACGGCGGCCGUAACUAUAACGGUCCUAAGGUAGCGAAAUUCCUUGUCGGGUAAGUUCCGACCUGCACGAAUGGCGUAAUGAUGGCCAGGCUGUCUCCACCCGAGACUCAGUGAAAUUGAACUCGCUGUGAAGAUGCAGUGUACCCGCGGCAAGACGGAAAGACCCCGUGAACCUUUACUAUAGCUUGACACUGAACAUUGAGCCUUGAUGUGUAGGAUAGGUGGGAGGCUUUGAAGUGUGGACGCCAGUCUGCAUGGAGCCGACCUUGAAAUACCACCCUUUAAUGUUUGAUGUUCUAACGUUGGCCCCUUAUCGGGGUUGCGGACAGUGUCUGGUGGGUAGUUUGACUGGGGCGGUCUCCUCCUAAAGAGUAACGGAGGAGCACGAAGGUUGGCUAAUCCUGGUCGGACAUCAGGAGGUUAGUGCAAUGGCAUAAGCCAGCUUGACUGCGAGCGUGACGGCGCGAGCAGGUGCGAAAGCAGGUCAUAGUGAUCCGGUGGUUCUGAAUGGAAGGGCCAUCGCUCAACGGAUAAAAGGUACUCCGGGGAUAACAGGCUGAUACCGCCCAAGAGUUCAUAUCGACGGCGGUGUUUGGCACCUCGAUGUCGGCUCAUCACAUCCUGGGGCUGAAGUAGGUCCCAAGGGUAUGGCUGUUCGCCAUUUAAAGUGGUACGCGAGCUGGGUUUAGAACGUCGUGAGACAGUUCGGUCCCUAUCUGCCGUGGGCGCUGGAGAACUGAGGGGGGCUGCUCCUAGUACGAGAGGACCGGAGUGGACGCAUCACUGGUGUUCGGGUUGUCAUGCCAAUGGCACUGCCCGGUAGCUAAAUGCGGAAGAGAUAAGUGCUGAAAGCAUCUAAGCACGAAACUUGCCCCGAGAUGAGUUCUCCCUGACCCUUUAAGGGUCCUGAAGGAACGUUGAAGACGACGACGUUGAUAGGCCGGGUGUGUAAGCGCAGCGAUGCGUUGAGCUAACCGGUACUAAUGAACCGUGAGGCUUAACCUUACAACGCCGAAG